rnacentral:rRNA from 1 species
GACGAACGCUGGCGGCGUGCUUAACACAUGCAAGUCGAACGGAAAGGCCCUGCUUUUGUGGGGUGCUCGAGUGGCGAACGGGUGAGUAACACGUGAGUAACCUGCCCUUGACUUUGGGAUAACUUCAGGAAACUGGGGCUAAUACCGGAUAGGAGCUCCUGCUGCAUGGUGGGGGUUGGAAAGUUUCGGCGGUUGGGGAUGGACUCGCGGCUUAUCAGCUUGUUGGUGGGGUAGUGGCUUACCAAGGCUUUGACGGGUAGCCGGCCUGAGAGGGUGACCGGCGACAUUGGGACUGUGAGACGGCCCAGACGCCUACGGGGGACAGCAGUGGGGAAUAUUGCACAAUGGGCGCAAGCGUGUGGCGGCAACGCCGCGGGUGGGAGGACGGCCUUUGGGGGGUGAACCGCUUUCGCCUGUGACGAAGCGUGUGUGACGGUAAUGGGUAAAGAAGCACCGGCUAACUACGUG